rnacentral:lncRNA from 1 species
CUGGGACAACCCAUGUGUUCCUCCAGCCGUAAGCCGUGGUUCUGCCAUCAGCGCGUGCAGGACUGGAAAAUGUCGGGCUGUUGCAGCGAGUGCUGUCAAACUGUGUGAGCAUCUUCCAAGGGAAGGAGUAGCAGCCCUGCAGGAGUUCGAAACCUCGAAGGCCCUAGCUAACGUAGCAUCGGGAAAGUCCUGAGGUUGAACAGGAUGACCUGAGAACUCUUCUGUGAAGAGGUAAUGAACGAUGGAAGAAAUCAAGUUAGCUGGAGAGAACUGCAUAUAUGGGCCACCCACAUGCCAUGGGAGAGAGGAGGUCCCGGGAGCACCUGCGUUCUCCAGCCAGCAAUAUUUCUCCAUCUGAGUUCUCACGCUCCUGACAGCUGGCUGGAAACAGAGAUUUGGCAGCAGGCUGUGGAAGGCAUCGCCUGGGCUGAGUGCGUGUUUCUUUAUCCCCAGCCUUUCAUCGCAGCCAGCGCGUUUCGGCAGGGCGAGGGCACGCUGAAGUGUGUGUUCUGCGAGCGCCACCGUCAAGGCAACAAAAAGGCUGAUUGAGCUAUUGGGAAGGUUAAUAGUCUGGGGCGCUGGCUGAGGUCCAGGUUUAGCUGCCGCUGAACUGAGCGGCCCAGGGCAGUGGAUUCCCGUCCAGGCUGUUUAAAUACCUGGCCUCGCUGGGAGGAAUUGUUUCUUUCGGCAGUUCCAGAGGAGCAUUUGGAAAUAGGAGUGUAAGGCUUCCAGACCAAACGAGGGUUAUUUUCCUUUCUGUGGCUGGCAAAUCACAUCCUGGGCUAACGCAGAUCAAAAUCCUAGCUCGAGGGUAAAUGCGACAGGCACAUUAUGUACCCAGUGAUAAAUGGUUUCUGGAUGGUCUCUGUUCUUCGUUUGUCCCUUCAGCCUUGCCUAGUGCCUCUGGUUUCGCCCCUGAUUUUGCCAUUUCAGGUUCCGUGACCUAUGACAGCACCUAUAGGAUUAAUGAUAUUUUCAGCCAGAGCCAAGUCUGCUCCUUGCUCUCCUGAAUCCAAUAAAUUGCUGUUAUCAAGUUUCA